rnacentral:rRNA from 1 species
GAUGAAACUCAGGUUCCCAUAUGAUCACCGAAGUUAAGCAACGUCGAGCAAGGCCAGUACCUAGAUGGGUAACCGUUUGGGAAUAUCAGGUGCUGUAA